UACAGAGACUGCAAGCGUUAUUCGGAUUCACUGGGCGUAAAGCGUGUGUAGGUGGUUGUCCAAGUUGGAUGUGAAAGCCUUGAGCUCAACUCAAGAAAUGCAUUCAGGACUGGGCGACUAGAGGACCGGAGAGGAUAGUGGAAUUCCCAGUGUAGUGGUGAAAUACGUAGAGAUUGGGAAGAACACCAGUGGCGAAGGCGGCUAUCUGGACGGUUUCUGACACUAAGACACGAAAGCGUGGGGAGCAAACAGG
rnacentral:rRNA from 1 species